rnacentral:rRNA from 1 species
AGGGUUCGAUCAUGGCUCAGGAUGAACGCUGGCGGCGUGCUUAACACAUGCAAGUCGAACGAAGCACUUUUACAGAUUUCUUCGGAAUGAAGUUUUAGUGACUGAGUGGCGGACGGGUGAGUAACGCGUGGGUAACCUGCCUCACACAGGGGGAUAACAGUUGGAAACGGCUGCUAAUACCGCAUAAGCGCACAGUACCGCAUGGUACAGUGUGAAAAACUCCGGUGGUGUGAGAUGGACCCGCGUCUGAUUAGCUAGUUGGCAGGGCAACGGCCUACCAAGGCGACGAUCAGUAGCCGACCUGAGAGGGCGACCGGCCACAUUGGGACUGAGACACGGCCCAA